CCUACGGGUGGCAGCAGUGGGGAAUAUUGCGCAAUGGGCGAAAGCCUGAAGCAGCGAAGCAGCGUGAGGGAGGAAGGUCUGAGGAGCGGAAAACUCGGUCAGCAGGGAAGAAAGGUCACUGUGCUAAGCAGCAGUGGAUUGACGGUACCUGCAAAGGAAGCACCGGCUAACUCCGUGCCAGCAGCCGCGGUAAUACGGAGGGUGCGAGCGUUAAUCGGAAUUACUGGGCGUAAAGAGCUCGUAGGCGGUAUGUCAAGUCAAGGGUGAAAUCCCCGCGCUCAACGUGGUAACUGCCUUUGAAACUGGCAGACUGGAGUGUGUGUGAGGAUAGUGGAAUUCCAGGUGU
rnacentral:rRNA from 1 species